UCUUAGACAAUGGGGGCAACCCUGAUCUAGCCAUGCCGCGUGUGUGAAGAAGGUCUUCGGAUUGUAAAGCACUUUAAGUUGGGAGGAAGGGUUGUAACCUAAUACGUUGCAAUUUUGACGUUACCGACAGAAUAAGCACCGGCUAACUUCGUGCCAGCAGCCGCGGUAAUACGAAGGGUGCAAGCGUUAAUCGGAAUUACUGGGCGUAAAGCGCGCGUAGGUGGUUAGGUAAGUUGGAUGUGAAAGCCCUGGGCUCAACCUGGGAACUGCAUCCAAAACUGCUUGGCUAGAGUACGGUAGAGGGUAGUGGAAUUUCCUGUGUAGCGGUGAAAUGCGUAGAUAUAGGAAGGAACACCAGUGGCGAAGGCGACUACCUGGACUGAUACUGACACUGAGGUGCGAAAGCGUGGGGAGCAA
rnacentral:rRNA from 1 species